UAAGUGUCUGUGUUAGAGAGCUUAGCGAAAACCAAAUAUCGAAUUGAACCACAGGAAGGAAAUGUAUGACAGCUUUCACAGAGCUGUCUACGUAAAAAUGCAAGAGGAACUGGAGAUAGAAGAGGAUUACCUCGUUUCAUUAGAGGAAAACGAACUUGGUUCCUACUUCGGCAAAACCUGGUUUUACAUUAAAGAAAUGUGGACAAUGGUUUAUCGCACCAGCAUUAUGACACUCGGAAAUAACACUACUAACCAGAUGAGCGGAAAUAGGAAGUCAAACACAUUUCUUUCUCCCCACACGGCACAUCUCCUUCCUGGGAGCCUCCUAAAAGGUUCUUAGCCUCCCCAGCGCAUCAAUCAUGCCGUUGGGAAGCACUGAGGAAGGCCACUAGCAGGAGUGUUUUAGGAGCUCCCUUCAUGAAAGCAAGACUCAUGCGUUUAAAUAAUGGGAAAUAUAAAUCGAUUGGAUUUGGUAACGACAUUAGAGCUG